rnacentral:snRNA from 1 species
ACGGGUUUAGCAGAACGUUACU